UACGUAGGGUGCGAGCGUUAAUCGGAUUUACUGGGCGUAAAGCGUGCGCAGGCGGUUUGUUAAGCGAGAUGUGAAAGCCCCGGGCUCAACCUGGGAACCGCAUUUCGAACUGGCAAACUAGAGUCUUGUAGAGGGGGGUAGAAUUCCAGGUGUAGCAGUGAAAUGCGUAGAUAUCGGGAGGAACACCAGUAGCGAAGGCGGCCACCUGGUCAGAAACUGACGCUGAGGUACGAAAGCGUGGGGAGCAAACAGG
rnacentral:rRNA from 1 species